UGGUCAUUACCAAGGCUUUUAGAAUGCAGUUUCUAAUUUGCUGUGGACAUGACCGUAAAACAAAAUCCCAACUAGGUUUUUCUUCCUGCUACUUUGUUAGCAUACAGCCUGUUGGGAACAUUU
ensembl:snoRNA